rnacentral:rRNA from 1 species
UACGGGAGGCAGCAGUGGGGAAUAUUGCACAAUGGGCGCAAGCCUGAUGCAGCCAUGCCGCGUGUAUGAAGAAGGCCUUCGGGUUGUAAAGUACUUUCAGUCGUGAGGAAGGUGUUAAGGUUAAUAACCUUAGCAAUUGACGUUAGCGACAGAAGAAGCACCGGCUAACUCCGCGCCAGCAGCCGCGGUAAUACGGAGGGUGCGAGCGUUAAUCGGAAUUACUGGGCGUAAAGGGCACGCAGGCGGUUAAUUAAGUUGGAUGUGAAAUCCCCGGGCUUAACCUGGGAAUGGCAUUCAAGACUGGUUAGCUAGAGUCUUGUAGAGGGGGUAGAAUUCCAUGUGUAGCGGUGAAAUGCGUAGAGAUGUGGAGGAAUACCGGUGGCGAAGGCGGCCCCUGGACAAAGACUGACGCUCAUGUGCGAAAGCGUGGGGAGCAAACAGGGAUUAGA